rnacentral:tRNA from 1 species
GUCUUCGUGGCUCAGUUGGCUAGAGCGUCAGUCUCAUAUAUUAUACAUAUGAUUCUCUUGGUAACGAGAGAAAUUCCUAUCUGAAGGUCGCCAGUUCGAGCCUGGCCGAGGACA